UGGGUUAGUGGCGGACGGGUGAGUAACGCGUGGGUAACCUGCCUUACACAGGGGGAUAACACUUAGAAAUAGGUGCUAAAACCGCAUAAGCGCACAGCUUCGCAUGAAGCGGUGUGAAAAACUCCGGUGGUGUAAGAUGGACCCGCGUCUGAUUAGCUUGUUGGCGGGGUAGAGGCCCACCAAGGCGACGAUCAGUAGCCGGCCUGAGAGGGUGGACGGCCACAUUGGGACUGAGACACGGCCCAAACUCCUACGGAAGGCAGCAG
rnacentral:rRNA from 1 species